CACAUUUUUUUCUUUUUUGAUAGUUAGACAUCAUGUACUGGGUACUAUGCAUUUAGGAAUGUGGUAGUAAAGUGCCGAGGUGAGGAAAGUGUUUCAUAGUUCUAUUAUCAGGUCUCAGUCUUUUAACUUUUGUACUCUAAGCUUUACUAGUGCUCCUCAGUUUCUCUCUCUGGUUCCCUUAAGUGGGACAGAAUGACUAAAACUGGCUGGAGUCAGGUAUUUCCCUUUUACCACCUGAGCUAGGCACUGAUAAAACCCCAGUAGGUUAGGGUUUUGUUAAAUAAUUUCUCUUGAGGGCAGACCUUGGUAAAAAGAAUAGAGUGCUGUGAUGUACUUCAAAAGGGUUCUUCUUCUUCCUCUGGCAGAAGCAAGAGGAUAUUUUCUCUGAUAUUUACUGUGAGAACCUAGUUCAGUUCCUGGAGAUAAAACUCACAAAAUUGUGGGGAUCCCCAUAUGACUGACCACCCCCUGCUGCCUCCAGAGUUUUAAAGUCUCAGAUUGGUCCACACUGUGCUGCUAGCAAUUCAUCAAUUUCAGAAUAUGUACAGACAAAAACAAGUAUGCUAAUGAAAUUUCUUCAAAUACUACAAACAAUUAGUGAAGACUGCUACUAUAGGCUGCUGCUGUAUUUUUAAGAGGCUCAACUUCAAAUACUUCAACCUUUUAUGGAAAGAUGGAAACACACAACAAACUAUGUGUAAGUACUCUUAGGGUACUUAGAGGAGACAAUGACACUGCUUUUAAGUCCAGUUGAAAGGUCACAUACUACCUCCACUGCCUUAGACUAAUGCCUAAGACCCUUUGCUCAAAGAAACCAAGAGGCUUGUAUUCUAAAAAUAGAGGCAAGGGGGGUGGGGCAGCAUGGAGGAAAAGAAAUGGCCAAAACAGAUCAGAGAAAGUGUUAAAAGCUGGCUGGAAAGGCCUUAAAUGACCCAGUUCAAGGUCCCCCUUUUACAGAUAAGGAAACUGUGACCCAAAGAGAUGAAAACCUAUAAACUAUGUCAUUCAAUGUCAUAAAGAUUAUGAGGAAGAGGAAGAAGAUCCAAGUUUCAGGCCUUCUUUCCUUCCAGUUCCAUUCACUUUCCAUUAUCUCUUUUUUCCCCCACCACUGUGUUUUACUUCAUCACAUCACACCUCUGGCUCAAAAGUCCAAAGGGAAUGCCAAUAUCUCAGCAGUUUACCAGAUAAGUUUAUCUUUAAGCACCAAAAUCAUUUUUCCUAAAAUAAAUUUCCCUAAAAUCUUAGGUUAUAAUACAGGUAAAAGCAGAAUAGCUUUGAUUGAAGUCUAAGUGGGAGGGCAGCCCCGGAGGCUGGUGUGAAAGCUUCCCUUUCAUUAUCACCCCUAUCUCCUCUCUAGCAUCCCUCCAACUGAAAUCAACUCAAUAAUCUGAUUUCUCAACAUCUGUCCCUGCCUCAUGGACCAUGUAUGCCAGCUAAUUUGUAUUCUUUUCCAUGGAUACUUAUUUCUCCUAUAUAUGUAUCCUAUAUAUGUAUCCAUCCUAUUGCUUCUUUCUGCACAGAGUAAUUAUGUCCUCUUCUAUUUGAAAACAUUUCUCUUGCCACCUUCAAAAUAAUUACAUUAAUUUUCUUCUCCUAAACAUACCAUCUCCUAGGCAUUCAUGUAUUGAAUUUAAAUACAAAAAUGCUACCAUAAAAACGUCACUAAUAAGGCUUAACUGGACCAGACUAGAGAAGAGAGUAGAGGUAAAUAGCUAACUUAUAUUAACAAGACAAUACGUUGCAAAUUGCAUGAAGUAACUACCAUUUCUAGGUGAAGACCCUGGCAGGACUACUUUGGAAAACAGGCAGGACUUGGCUAAAACAAUUGUUAGUGGUUGAUUAUCAAAAUUAAUGCUAACCUUCUAGAUUAGAAUGUUACUUACAAACGUAUUAUUAAUCUGUUUAUGUCCUUACUUGUAAAAUCAUCUCAUGUUGAUAAAUUAACCAAGGAAGAGACUUAGAAUAACAUAGCUCCAUUCAUAUAACACACACAACGUUAAGUCUAUGCUCAUUCAAACUUGAGCUCUGUAAGAAAGAACCUGCAUAUAUAAGGACUGAGUUUUCUAUAACCUAUAAUAAUCCUCACCACCUGGUACCUAGUAUACAUUCAAAUUCAGUUUGCAGGAAGAAAGAUAGCAUUUUGUAACCACCAAAGGUGUAAAUGUAAUUUGAUUAAGGCUAACUCCCAGCUUUUUGACUAACGGUUUCUCCAUAGGAAACUGAUUAUUUGGAAUAAGUCAGGGUAUAAAAGCAGUAACAAAAUUUAGAAUACUAGGCUAUAUAUUUUUUAAUAAAGGUGAAAAAACUGAACCAAGAGAAGUCUUUUU
rnacentral:lncRNA from 1 species